UACAGAGGGUGCGAGCGUUACUCGGAAUUACUGGGCGUAAAGCGCGCGUAGGCGGCUUUGCAAGCCGGGUGUGAAAUCCCCGGGCUUAACCUGGGAACUGCAUUCGGGACUGCAUUGCUAGAGUAUGGGAGAGGGAAGUGGAAUUUCAGGUGUAGCGGUGAAAUGCGUAGAUAUCUGAAGGAACAUCAGUGGCGAAAGCGACUUCCUGGACCAAUACUGACGCUCAUGUGCGAAAGCGUGGGGAGCAAACAGG
rnacentral:rRNA from 1 species